rnacentral:rRNA from 1 species
GAAUAUUGCGCAAUGGAGGAAACUCUGACGCAGUAACGCCGCGUGCGGGAAGAAGACCUUCGGGUUGUAAACCGCUUUUUGAGGGGACGAGCGAGGACGGUACCUUCAGAAUAAGUCUCGGCUAACUACGUGCCAGCAGCCGCGGUAAGACGUAGGAGGCGAGCGUUAUCCGGAUUCACUGGGCGUAAAGCGCAUGUAGGCGGCUGUGCAAGUCGUGUGUUAAAGCCCCUGGCUCAACUGGGGGAGGUCAUGCGAUACUGUGCGGCUGGAGGGCAGUAGAGGCACAUGGAACUCCCGGUGUAGCGGUGGAAUGCGUAGAGAUCGGGAAGAACACCCGUGGCGAAGGCGGUGUGCUGGGCUGCACCUGACGCUGAGAUGCGAAAGUGUGGGGAGCAAACGGG